rnacentral:rRNA from 1 species
AGAGUUUGAUCCUGGCUCAGAACGAACGCUGGCGGCAGGCUUAACACAUGCAAGUCGAGCGCCCCGCAAGGGGAGCGGCAGACGGGUGAGUAACGCGUGGGAACGUACCCUUUACUACGGAAUAACGCAUGGAAACGUGUGCUAAUACCGUAUGUGCCCUUUGGGGGAAAGAUUUAUCGGUAAAGGAUCGGCCCGCGUUGGAUUAGCUAGUUGGUGGGGUAAAGGCCUACCAAGGCGACGAUCCAUAGCUGGUCUGAGAGGAUGAUCAGCCACAUUGGGACUGAGACACGGCCCAAACUCCUACGGGAGGCAGCAGUGGGGAAUAUUGGACAAUGGGCGCAAGCCUGAUCCAGCCAUGCCGCGUGAGUGAUGAAGGCCCUAGGGUUGUAAAGCUCUUUCACCGGUGAAGAUAAUGACGGUAACCGGAGAAGAAGCCCCGGCUAACUUCGUGCCAGCAGCCGCGGUAAUACGAAGGGGGCUAGCGUUGUUCGGAUUUACUGGGCGUAAAGCGCACGUAGGCGGAUCGAUCAGUCAGGGGUGAAAUCCCAGAGCUCAACUCUGGAACUGCCUUUGAUACUGUCGAUCUGGAGUAUGGAAGAGGUGAGUGGAAUUCCGAGUGUAGAGGUGAAAUUCGUAGAUAUUCGGAGGAACACCAGUGGCGAAGGCGGCUCACUGGUCCAUU